rnacentral:lncRNA from 1 species
GCGGACCGCCGUCGCCGUCAGCCUUUGGACCCAAAGUCGAGAAGUGAGGUGAUUGUGAUUGGGGAAGCGAGGAAGACGACACUAUGAGCAGAAAGGAAUGAUCAACCACCGUGAUGGCGGACGGUUGUGGGUAGACCCGGUGUCUACACGUGGAUUUGCUAGACGGGAUAUGACAUGACAUGGUUGUUGUGUGGUGAGGUGCCAUGGCAUAAGACAUGACGCGAGAUAUGACAUGACACGGGAUAUAACUGACGUGUGGGUGUAGUUUGGUUGUCGCUGGCAGGGCACUCUGCUAUCUGUGCUGCCACAUAGUCUGAGAUCCCUUGUGUGGCUUACUGGUUGCAAACUUCUUACAAUGGAUAAGGCCUCACUACAAGGACAUAAACCAUAUCCAUUUGUGUCGAGAGAAAUCAUCUUUAAAGAUAAUAUAGUAACCAUGGCUCCUUUCGAGGGAAGGGAGCCGGACCACAAACAUUAGAGUGAACAAGAUGAAAAGGACGCUGAAACAGUCUUGCUAUGAGCAUAUAGGGUGACUGGUGGAUGUGGAGCUUGGGCUAAAUGGCGUUGAGUAUGGAAGGUUUUUCUAGCGAGUCAAUAUCAAACUGAAAAAAAACCAUUGAUGUUUUCAGGGACUGGUGAGCGAAGUAAACCACCCCGAAUGUUUCUUGUGCUAUUCGAGAAGCUGUUGUGUUUUUGCGCAAAACAAGAUAUGAUUGGCCAUGUUAUAGAACAAUGUGGGGAUGGGGUUCGUGAUCCAAAGAAGUUGCGGUUUGGCAGUUUUAUGAUGGUUCCAACCUAUAUGUGGUUCUAGCCUAGAAAUGAGUAAUUGCUCAACCUCGUGGUAGCACUACUUGUGGAAGAGGUGACUGGGCUAGUAGGGCCUAGGUUGUCGUGGAGGGAAAAGUGGGCAUGACCCGACCCGAUGUAUGAGAAAAAUGAUUUUGAACCUGUGAAUGAAAAUGCAGGCACAUGCAAUGUCAAUGCAAAUAAUGCUAGUUAUGGGGAUUCUGGUACNUCGUGGUAGCACUACUUGUGGAAGAGGUGACUGGGCUAGUAGGGCCUAGGUUGUCGUGGAGGGAAAAGUGGGCAUGACCCGACCCGAUGUAUGAGAAAAAUGAUUUUGAACCUGUGAAUGAAAAUGCAGGCACAUGCAAUGUCAAUGCAAAUAAUGCUAGUUAUGGGGAUUCUGGUACCUAGCCAACCCAACGUCGGUCAAGGACCCUCCCUAGGCGCUAGGGGGAAAGGAAGUACGUAUCUUAUAGAGUACCAUUAGGGCAAAACUGGGUUGAGCAACACAGGUGAGGGUUGCUCUUUGCAAGUUGAAGUGAAGAAAAGGCAGAGGAUAGUGGGUUUAUGCAGCUUAUGCAAGCAUUUUCAUCGCUUCCCCAUAUCUCAUGUGCACUCUUCGUUCCUUGUCGAUUUGGCUUGUCAUCCUUCCACUGUUUGCGUGUUUUGUGCCACAGACUUGAUGAUGCACUCCGCGUUCCCUUGUUGGGCGUCCGUGGCCUUGGCGACAGGUAGCGGCGUGCUCUUGGGCGCUUUGCUUCCUUGCAUAAGAGGGAGACGGUGCCGACUGCCCAUGCUCUUGCUCCGCCAGUGGUGGUGCUUGAGCUUGUGGCCAUGGUGGCAACUUGCAUGGGAGCAUGGGAUGUAGGAACAAGGCAGUGCACAACAACUCGUAGGCAUGCAAAGGAUGCCUAGCCGAGCUGCCAGGCAAUGGAGAGUAUGGAGGAGGUGCGAGGGGAGGGGUGAAAACGUUGUUGGGAGCGGACUGCCGUCGCCGUCAGCCUUUGGACCCAAAGUCGAGCAGUGAGGUGAUUAUGAUUGGGGAAGCGAGGAAGAGGGCACUAUGAGCAGAAAGGAAUGAUUAACCACCGUGAUGGCGGACGGUUGUGGGUAGACCAGGUGUCUACACGUGGAUUUGCUAGACAGGAUAUGACAUGACAUGGUUGUUGUUUGGUGAGGUGCCAUGGGAUAAGACAUGACGCGAGAUAUGACAUGACACGGAUAAAACUGACGUGUGGGUGUGUUUGGUUGUUGCCGGUAGGGCACUCUGCUAUGUGUGCCGCCACAUAGUCUGAGCUCCCUUGUGUGGCUUAGUGGUUGCAAACUUCUUACAAUGGAUAAGGCCUCACUACAAGGACAUAAAAUAUAUCCAUUUGUGUCGAGAGAAAUCAUCUUUAAAGAUAAUAUAGUAACGAUGGCUCCUUCCGAGGGAAGGGAGCCGGACCACAAACAUUUGAGUGACCAAGAUCAAAAGGACGCCGAAACAGUCUUGCUAUGAGCAUAGGGUAACUGGUGGAUGUGGAGCUUGGGCUAAAUGGCGUUGAGUAUGUAAGUUUUUUCUAGUGCUAGUCAAUAUCAAACUGAAAAUAAACCAUUGAGGUUUUCAGGGACUGGUGAGCGAAGUAAACCACCCCGAAGGUUUCCUAUGCUAUUCGAGAUGGUGUUGUGUUUUUGCGCAAAUCAAGAUAUGAUUGGCCAUGUUAUAGAACAAUGUGGGGAUGGGGUUCGUGAUCGAAAGAAGUUUCGGUUUGGCAGUUUUAUGAUGGUUCCAAUCUAUAUGUGGUUCUAGCCUAGAAAUGAGUUAAUUGCUCAACCUCGUGGUAGCACUACUUGUGGAAGAGGUCUAGGUGGUCGUGGAGGGAAAAGUGGGCAUGACCCGACCCGAUGUAUGAGAAAAAUGAUUUUGACCCUGUGAAUGAAAAUGCCGAUACAUGCAAUGUCAAUGCAAACAAUCCUAGUUAAGGGGAUUCUGGUACAUAGCCAACCCAGCGUCCGUCAAGGACCCUCCCUAGGCGCUAGGGGGAGAGGAAGUACAUAUCUUAUAGAAUACCAUUCGGGCAAAACUGGGUUGAGCAACACAGCUGAUGGUUGCUUUUUGCAAGUUGAAGUGAAGAAAAGGCAGAGGAUGGUGUGUGUGUGCCGCUUAUGCAAGCAUUUUCAUGCUUCCCCAUAUCUCAUGUGCACUCUUCGUUCCUUGUCGAUUUGGCUUGGCAUCCUUCCACUGUUUGCGUGUUUUGUGCCACGAACUUGAUGAUGCACUCCGCGUUCCCUUGUUGGGCGUCCGUGGCCUUGGCGACAGGUAGCGACGUGCUCUUUGUUAAGCUUCAUGCACUAGCCAACGCAACCAAAAGUCCGAACUGAUGGAAAGGGCUAGUGCAAUCCACAUAUACUGUAACACCCUCUCUCACGUGUGACGGGGAAGACAAGUCAACACGUGCAGCCGGAAGAGAGCGCAAAACUCACGUAUGACUCAAGAGGCCUCUACGUGGACACAAAGGGGGCUACCAACAAUUUUUUAAAUAAAUUGUGAAAGCCAGGACUUGAACUCAAGAUCUUAGCUCCGAUACCAUGUUAAGCUUCAUGCACUAGCCAACGCAACCAAAAGUCCGAACUGAUGGAAAAGGCUAGUGCAAUCUACAUAUACUGUAACACUCUUGGGCGCUUUGCUUCCUUGCAUAAGACGGUGCCGACUGCCCUUGCUCUUGCUCCGCCAGUGGUGGUGCUUGAGCUUGUGGCCAUGGCGGCAACUUGCAUGGGAGCAUGGGAUGUAGGAACAAGUUAGCACACAACAACUCGUAGGCAUGCAAAGGAUGCCUAGCCGAACUACCAGGCAAUGGAGAGUACAGAGGAGGUGUGAGGGGAGGGGUGAAAACGUUGCCGGGAGUGGACCGCCGUCGUCGUCGCCGUCGCCGUCAACCUUUGGACCCAAAGUCGAGCUGUGAGGGGAUUGUGAUAGGGGAAGCGAGGUAGAGGGCACUGUGAGCAGAAACGAAUGAUCCACCGUGAUGGCGGAUGGUUGUGGGUAGACCCGAUGUCUACACGUGGAUUUGCUAGACGGGAUAUGACAUGACAUGGUUGUUGUGUGGUGAGGUACCAUGCAAUAAGACAUGACACAAGAUAUAGAGGAGGUGUGAGGGGAGGGGUGAAAACAUUGUCGGGAGCGGACCGCCGUCGCCGUCAGCCUUUGGACCCAAAGUCGACCAGUGAGGUGAUUGUGAUUGGGGAAGCAAGGAAGAGGGCACUAUGAGCAGAAAGGAACGAUCAACCACUAUGAUGGCAGACGGUUUUGGGUAGACCCGGUGUCUACACGUGGAUUUGCUACACGGGAUAUGACAUGACAUGGUUGUUGUGUGGUGAGGUGCCAUGGGAUAAGACAUGACAUGAGAUAUGACAUGACACGAGAUAUAACUGACGUGUGGGUGUGUUUGGUUGUCGCCGGCAGGGCACUCUGCUAUGUGUGCUGCCACAUAGUCCGAGCUCCCUUGAGUGGCUUAGUGGUGGUGAAAGGCCUGCACUUACUAUUGUUGGCGUGAUGAUGGCGUCCUUGCACAUUCUUUCCUUCAUGAAGGCCUCAUCGUGGUGCUAUGCCCCAUCUCCAUCGUGGUGCUAUGCCCUAUCUCCAUCGUGAUUGUCGGUUUGGCAGGGUUGCUUUGUGGUCAGGCUCGGUGGAUGUCAGAGCGGUGGUUUCGGACGACGGUUAUACGCCAAGGCAUGGUCAUGGAUCUACAUCGCAGGGGUGAUGUCUUGAUGGUAUGAGAGUAGCAAGGUCGUCGACAUGGUCAACACGACCUGUGGGUCUGAUGUUUGGUGCAACAUUUGUGGUCUGCAGUGGUCGUCUUGAGCGUUACAAGGGCUUUGAGGGCUGUGAUGUUGUGGUUCGCGUGCGAGUGGGGCACAUUGGAGCGGGAACACCAAAUCUGGUGCAUGUGUUUAGUGCAACUGUCGCUUGUCUCGUGUUGUCCACGAGGGUAUGUUGCUUGUCUGUUUUUGACCCACUUUUCAUUGUAAAUUGGGCUGCUCUGUUUGUUUUUUAAUCUGGUUUCCCUUAUAAACCAGAUUAAUCUCUUUGGAGAGACAGUAGCACCAAAAUCCUCAAGCUCAUGAUGGAUCAACAUCACAGAGUUUGGAUAGACAGAAGCCUUGUUGUGCUCUCUAGGCUUUUGUGAAGAAAUCAGCCAGCUAUAAAUUAGAAGGCACAUACUGAAAAGCAAUAAUUCGAUCUUGCAAAUUGGAGCACAUGAAGGAAGCAUCAACAUCAAUAUGCUUGACGAGCUCAUGCUUCACAGGGUAGCGCGCAAUACUACUAGCACUUGUAGUGUUUGACAAGAGAGGAGUAUGUGUAGUGAUAGAAACACAAAUUUUCUCAAGCAUUCGUUGUAGCCAAGUCACAUGUGUUGUCAAAAGAGCCAUGGCCCGCGACUCAGCUCUGCACUCGAACAAGUGCAAUUUGUUUCUUCGGUCUUCCAGGCAAUGAGAAAACCACCAAUAAUAACAUAGUAGCAGAAGUGGACCGGCGAACUUGAGCAGGGAAAAAGAAACGGCUAGAUAGAGUCCCACGAAGAUCUCAUAGAACACGGAAAGGGUCACUAUAGUGGAUCGAAGUGGGCGCAAAAAGAAAUUGACAGAAUGUGAACGUGAUAUGGCCAUAUUCUUGCUGAAAGCCAUGGGCCACAUGCUGAGCUUUGUAACGCUUAAGAGAACCAUAAGUCCUAACCUUAUAGACCCACUUACAAGUGAUUGGAUGACCACGACGACGAAGGGAAAUGAGAUCCCAUGUGCCGAUGCGCCCAUGAGGAGCAAUCUCUGCCAUUGCAUGUUGUUAUUUGGGAUAAACAAUAACAUCGUGAUAAGUCGUCUCGAGAAGAGCGGCUUCGAAUAAUCAUAGUCGUCAAUAGGCGGAAGCGGAAGCCAUAAGUACGUUGAGCCAAAGGAGGGGAUGGAUGUGGACAGAAAGGACAAGACUCAUCAUAAGUGACACCCCGGGAAAUGCGUAUCCGAUGACUUAUAGGAUCCCAACACUGAUAGCCCUUGUGCUCAUCAUCGAGUACUCAGUUUGGUGUGUUCACGUGGGGCAAGAAUGACAUACCAAACACAACCAAACAAACGAAACACAAGUAGUCACGAAAAUGACCAAAAAGACGUUCGAGAGGAAGGCUGAAAUGUUGAUGAGAUAGGUGAAAGUAGAAACUGUUAGGAAAGCAACUUAUCUAUAUUGAAGGCCCAAGGGGCAUAUAUAUAUUACACAUGACUUGAGGUGCAAGGAAAGUAAACAUAGACUAAUAAGGACUCCUUAGACUAAUACUAAUAGACUAAUAAGGACUCCUAGACUAAUACUAAUACUUCCUAACACUCCCCCCUUCAAAUGCAAAGCGUAUGCAAUAGCAUUGCAUUUGAAGAAGUGUAAUACUAAAAGAAAUGAUAAUCCAAAUCCGCGUCUUGAAGAGUGUCGUCGUAACAUGAAGAGUCUUCAAAACUUGUCGAGUCGCCGAAGGAGUGAACGAAGAGAUGGCACAUCAGAGGUAGACACCGCAUCACUUGAAGAUACAAGAUAAGUAUCAAGAGAAGAUGGGUUGUCAAAAGAAGAUAGCACAUCAAGAGGAAGACACCGAAGAGAUGGCACAUCAGAGGAAGACACCGCAUCACUUGAAGAUACAACAAAAGUAUCAAGAGAAGAUGGGUUGUCAAAAGAAGAUGGCACAUCAAGAGAAUAAAACAUUGUGCAGAAAAUCGUAGUCCUCGACAACCGUCGGCAAAAGAAGCUCGGCGGAUAAGGCACGAUGGACGUAGAUCGACAAUGCAAAAGAAGUCCAGAAAAUCCUAUAGAAAACAACAAGGGCAAAUAGGCCACAAAAGUUGCAUAGAAAGGAUCAGGACCAAAGAAAAGGCCGACGGACUAAGGUAUGGUGGACUCGCAUGGCAUGAGAAAACACAAAAUAUCAAUGGAUUUGGUGGACGCAGCGGAGAAAAUAGAAAACUAGAAAACACACACUAGAUUAGGGAUGAUAGCAGCGGAAGAGAAAAAAUAAUAUCAUGGCGGCGAAGGCCAAUUCCAACCAGAGUGUGCGUGAGACGGUCCUGACUGUGUAGAAGGUGGUUGCUCAGUGCGGGAAGCCUGAGUCAGAAUGCCAGCAGUACCCGUCGAGGAAGAACCUGAAGCAGCGAGCAGACGCUUAAGUCGCAGAAUAUCCUGCCCAAUCAAAGCGAUGGCUGAAGCUGUCGAGGUAGAUGA